UACGUAGGUGGCAAGCGUUGUCCGGAUUUAUUGGGCUUAAAGGGUGCGUAGGCGGUCCUAUAAGUCAGUGGUGAAAUACGGCAGCUCAACUGUCGAGGUGCCAUUGAUACUGUAGGACUAGAGUACUGUUGAGGUAGGCGGAAUGGACGGUGUAGCGGUGAAAUGCUUAGAUAUCGUCCAGAACACCGAUAGCGAAGGCAGCUUACUAAAGAGUAACUGACGCUGAGGCACGAAAGUGUGGGGAUCAAACAGG
rnacentral:rRNA from 1 species